UCCAUUUCUCUCGCAGCUUCCGGAACUGCCCUACGCUCUCCUGCUCACCGUUCUCUCUCUAUCGCUCCACCGUCACCAUCAUCGUCAUCUCUCCUGAAUCAGCCAAAACAUGGCGGCGCGGAUAGCUGCGGCUCGUGGAGCUAUGGAUCUAUCUCGGCUCGGCUCUCCCAAAUCGGCGGCUUCCACUAGUCGAGCUGCCAACUUGGUCCAGCGGCGAUCAUCACGGACCUCCAAGGGUGAAUUUUUGGCAGGAUCCUAUGAACCCAUCUAAAUGGAAAGAAGAGCACUUUGUGAUAGUCUCUCUAACCGGCUGGGGCUUAGUUUUCUAUAGUGGUUACAAAUUCUUCACAGGAGGCAAAAAGGAA